rnacentral:rRNA from 1 species
GUAGUUUGACUCCGUCGGCUACGAGACGACGCUGGCGGCGCGCCUAACACAUGCAAGUCGAACGGACGAGGAAGUGCUUGCACUUCCGAGUUAGUGGCGGACGGGUGAGUAACACGUGAGCAACCUGCCGUUUUAGACGGGGGAUAACGUCCUGAAAAGGACGCUAAUACCGCAUAAAGUCGAGAUGUGGCAUCGCAUCAUGACCAAAGGAGUAAUCCGCUGAAAGAUGGGCUCGCGCCUGAUUAGCUAGUUGGAGUGGUAACGGCACACCAAGGCGACGAUCAGUAGCCGGACUGAGAGGUUGAACGGCCACAUUGGGACUGAGACACGGCCCAGGCUCCUACGGGAGGCAGCAGUGGGGAAUAUUGGGCAAUGGGGGAAACCCUGACCCAGCGACGCCGCGUGAGGGAUGAAGGUUUUCGGAUUGUAAACCUCUGUCUUCGGGGACGAAAAAAUGACGGUACCCGAGGAGGAAGCCACGGCUAACUACGUG